GGUGAAGAGAUUUUAUACAUCUCAAUAAUAAAAACUAAGCUUCAUUGAUAUAUGUGCAGGUUACUUGUGGUAGUAGCUGAGAUGUUGUGCUAGAUAUUUGCACUGACUUACUAACAUGGCCAGGGAGACAGAAGGGAGAAAAAGAAAGAAAAAACAAGAACUCACAAUGCUCAGCUGCAUGCUACAUACCAUCUCAGUGGCUGUAGUGGCUUCUGUCGUGGCAGCCAUCGCAGCUACAAUAGCUGCUUCAUCUGCACCAAGCAAGGAUGAGAGGAUGGCCAAGAUUGACAUGGCUAUGGCCUCUGCAGCCACAUUGGUGGCCACGCUAGAAGAGGAGCAGCUACCCUGAAGGAAAGAGCAUUAAAAGAGGUAUGGAACAUUGAUACAGUGACACCCUUAGAGAAAGGCAGAGGAGGGAUUGGAAUUUGUGGCAAAGGUACUACAAAUA